rnacentral:lncRNA from 1 species
AUGCAGAAUAAAAGCUAAGCAAGAUAUAUUAAAACAAAUGUCUAAUAUCAGCACAUAUAUAGUAGCACAUAGUAUUUAUAUCAGAGUAGCACAUACAAAUUUAAACACUAUAAGCACAAACAAAAGACUGCAUGCAGCUAUAGCAAAGGUAAUACAUAAGCAAAAGAAAUAAAUGGCUAAAUAAAAAAACAAAAAUAACUGCAAAAAGAUAAAAC